UCACUGCCGAAAGAAAAUGGAAGGUUUGUGUAUUAUGACUCGUGUCUCCGCGGUUAAGUGUAAUUUUUAUGGUGUUUUGGCGCGUCGUGUUGUGGCGGAGUGGCGCAGGUUAGCGGCUGACUUGGCGGGGAGAAGAAGAGGAGGAACUGUGGUCGUCUUCUGUCGUUACGACUUCAAUGCACUACGAACACUAUAACUUCAGCCAAUGGAGUCCAUAGAACCUACCAAGACGAUGGAAAUGGCUUAAGAGUCUGAGGGUUCUCUCCGCAACUGAACCCUAAAGAUCAAACAUAUGUUCCACUAUACGAAGGCACCAGAGAAGGGAGUCUUUAGAACCUACAGGCUUAAAAGUUCAUGAGUGUUCUCUCCACGAGAGAGAGAGAGAGAGAGAGAGAGAGAGAGAGAGAGAGAGAGAGAGAGAGAGCAUUAAUCUUACCAGGAAGUGUUAUAUGUUUCUGAGUAUUGCGGAUGAAAGACAAUAGUGUUUGAAAGCGGUGAGGCAUAUUAUCGUGCUACACAUUCUUUAUUUUGUUAGUAAAUGAGUGGGGGGACUAUUUUUUCAUUAUGCAUUUCUUCAACCCUUAUUUUUGCUGUCCUACGUGGCUAAAUAAGUGAGGCUUUUUUUUCUUUAGUGAACCUUUUUAUUUAGCCUUUUUGUUCCCCUUGAGCAGAGCAAUGGUCAUGGUACUGAAAACCAACAAAAGACAAAGGAAGACAUGUUGAAAAAUGAAUAAGUAAAUAGGAUUGCUCGUGAUACACAUUCUCUUAAUACAGAGUCAUUUCCUCUUAAUGUCAGAAAAUGUGAAGUGAAAUAACAGAACAGUGAGAAAUUAUAUUCGACCACACAUUAGAAAAAGAAAUAAAAGAAAAAUGUUCAUAAUGCAUAUACUCUUAAUAAACAAAUAUCUAUUCCGCUUGUAUGUAAGAAAAGCUGUAACAAGCAAUGAGAAAUUAUAUUCAAUCACAUAUUAGAAAAAGAAAUAAAAAAGUGUUCAUAAUGCAUAUAUUCAUAAUAAACAUAUAUCUAUUCCGCUUGUAUAUCAGAAAAUAGUUACAACAGGACAUUGUAAGUGAAUGAAAUCGUAUGAAUAAAAGGUGAAGCAAAAAGGGAAAUGUUGAUGAGGAAAAUAACUCGGAAACAAAUAACUUCCCGGGAAACAGCAAAUGAGUCAGUAGAUGAAUAAACCAAUAAAUGCAAGAGAAAAAAUGAAUAAAUAGAAAACGUGCGCAAGGAUAAAGAAAAAGAGAAAGACAAAGGAAGACAGUCAGCUUCCUACUAAAUAAGCAGUAGAACAAAACCCAAAGGGAAAGAGAGAAAGAGAGAAAAGUAAAGAAAAAAUCCACUUAUGAUGCGCUCUAAUAAUCGUGAAUGCAACACAGCAAGGGUGGCGCUUCUUUCUGUGGGACAAAGCGUCAGUCACCCCAGCAAGGGAUGGAGGAAAGAACACUCGUGCAUCACCGCGGGGCUUUGAUCGCUGGAACAGGAAUAGACCGCGCCUGUGUAGCUUAAUAGUGGUGAGGGAUGAACGUGGCAGUGUUAGUGGUGAGGGAGAAAAUUUAAUAUCAAGUGGUGGAGAGAACACUGGAAAAGGAAAUUGGGUGAGGCCAAUGAAGUGAACAAACUGUAUAAACUGUGAACGAAAAAGAACACGAGAGAUGAAAUAGAUAGAACAAGAUAGACAACAAGAGAAAAAACGAAGCAAAUAAGACACAAGACUUAUAGGAUGACACAGACGCGAAACUAGGUAAAUAAAGAGACACACCUUAACACAAACUCUCAGAAAAAGAACACGAGAGAUGUAUUAAUGGAAUAAAAAAGGACAAUCAGAAGACAUGACGAGGCAAACAAGACUUAUAGGAUGACACAGAUGCAAAACCAGUAAACAAAGACAGACACCAUGAAACAAACUCACAGAAAAAGAGAAAAAGAUCGCAGAAGAUAAAUUAAUGGAACAAAAAAAAAAAGAAAAACAAUCAGAGGACAAGUCGAAGCAAAUAAGACUUAUAGGAUGACACAGACGGCAAAUCAGGAAAACAGAAGCGACACACUCUGACACAAACCCUCUGUGAAUGAACGAGACGAAGCAUCACAAGACUGGACAACCCAACACCUCGAAGCGGGAAAGAAAACGUGUACCAUCGUCACGGAAAGACAGAGAAAGGAAAGCCUAGAACUAGAAACUGAAAACCCAAGUGACCAUCCCGGUAUUUAUCACAGUUGUCUUGUCUUGUACACGCUCUGGCCUCCCGCAAGAGCUUCUCCCUCCCCAUCACAACCCCGCCACACCAGAGAAAGCACCAGUCUUUGAAGGACAUGGUGGGCACCGAGGGGAGUGACUCGUUACCGCAAAAAUGAAGAGGUUCAGACAGGCAGACGCAUACUUAGAACUUCGAGGAUACAAGGAGACAUCACAUGGCGCCAAUACUGAUCCCCGACAACACACUCCCUAGUGAAGAGCAACCGAUGGGAAAAAAUAGUCUACAGACAUGGACAAGUGCCGGACUGCUGACCUUAAAGGAGACGAACCCAGCCGCUCUUGUCUCGGCAUGGUGAGAGAAUCCAAUCUUGUAUCUUUUGGUUCUGAGCCACGCACGCUGACCACUACUGAUUUUUUUGUUCUUUUUUAGGAGUUUGGAAAGAGAUCGACAGAAUGGGUGAAGAAUAGAUAAGAAUGAGUGGCGUUUGUAAAGAGACAGAGUGAGUGAAAGGGAAAAGAAUGCUAAGUGACGUUUGAGUUGUCCAGAAAUUGUAUACAAACAGUGGAAUUCAGAAAAAUAUAGAAAACAAGGUAAUUUUCUUAUUUCUUAGUUGCGUUUGGAAAGAAAUUGAAAUAGUAAGAAGAUACUGAAGAUGCCACCAAAGUGAUAUUCAAAUACCCACGCAUUUGAUAUAAUUAGUAGGAAAUCUGAAACAAACAAGGCUUAUACAAAUUCAACUUUUCUUUUUUUUUUUUUAGCAGAGUUUGUAAAGAGAAUGAG
rnacentral:lncRNA from 1 species